rnacentral:tRNA from 2 species
GGAGUGGCACAGUCGGUAGCGCAGCUGAUUCGUAAUCAGCAGGUCGUGGGUUCAAGUCCCAUCUCC